rnacentral:rRNA from 1 species
AACGAACGCUGGCGGCAUGCCUAACACAUGCAAGUCGAACGAGACCUUCGGGUCUAGUGGCGCACGGGUGCGUAACGCGUGGGAACCUGCCCUUAGGUUCGGAAUAACUCCCCGAAAGGGGUGCUAAUACCGGAUAAUGUCUUCGGACCAAAGAUUUAUCGCCUUUGGAUGGGCCCGCGUUGGAUUAGCUAGUUGGUAGGGUAAAAGCCUACCAAGGCGACGAUCCAUAGCUGGUCUGAGAGGAUGAUCAGCCAUACUGGGACUGAGACACGGCCCAGACUCCUACGGGAGGCAGCAGUGGAGAAUAUUGGACAAUGGGCGAAAGCCUGAUCCAGCAAUGCCGCGUGAGUGAUGAAGGCCUUAGGGUUGUAAAGCUCUUUUACCCGGGAUGAUAAUGACAGUACCGGGAGAAUAAGCUCCGGCUAACUCCGUG